AUUGAACGCUGGCGGCAGGCUUAACACAUGCAAGUCGAGCGGAGAUGAGGUGCUUGCACCUUAUCUUAGCGGCGGACGGGUGAGUAAUGCUUAGGAAUCUGCCUAUUAGUGGGGGACAACAUUCCGAAAGGAAUGCUAAUACCGCAUACGUCCUACGGGAGAAAGCAGGGGAUCUUCGGACCUUGCGCUAAUAGAUGAGCCUAAGUCGGAUUAGCUAGUUGGUGGGGUAAAGGCCUACCAAGGCGACGAUCUGUAGCGGGUCUGAGAGGAUGAUCCGCCAAACUGGGACUGAGACACGGCCCAGACUCCUACGGGAGGCAGCAGUGGGGAAUAUUGGACAAUGGGGGGAACCCUGAUCCAGCCAUGCCGCGUGUGUGAAGAAGGCCUUAUGGUUGUAAAGCACUUUAAGCGAGGAGGAGGCUACUGAGACUAAUACUCUUGGAUAGUGGACGUUACUCACAGAAUAAGCACCGGCUAACUCUGUGCCAGCCGCCGCAGUAACAC
rnacentral:rRNA from 1 species